UACGAAGGGGGGCUAGCGUUGCUCGGAAUCACUGGGCUUAAAGGGCGCGUAGGCGGGUUCUCAAGUCAGGGGUGAAAUCCCGCGGCUCAACCGUGGAAGUGCCUUUGAUACUGGGGACCUCGAGGGAGGUAGGGGCGUGCGGAACUUCCGGUGGAGCGGUGAAAUGCGUAGAUAUCGGAAGGAACACCGGUGGCGAAAGCGGCGCGCUGGACCUCUUCUGACGCUGAGGCGCGGAAAGCCAGGGGAGCAAACGGG
rnacentral:rRNA from 1 species